rnacentral:misc_RNA from 1 species
UCUCCGUAGGUGAACCUGCGGAGGGAUCAUUACAGAGCAUCAUGCCCUUCGGGGUAGAUCUCCCACCCUAUGUAUUUAUACCAUUGUUGCUUCGGCAGGCCGUCUAGGUUUCGGCCUAGCUAUGGGCUUCGGCUCGUAAGUGCCUGCCAGAAGACAUUCAAACUCUGUAAUCAAUGUCGUCUGAGUAAAAAUUUAAUAAGUUAAAACUUUCAACAACGGAUCUCUUGGUUCUGGCAUCGAUGAAGAACGCAGC